GACGAACGCUGGCGGCGUGCCUAAUACAUGCAAGUCGAACGAACCGCGACUGAGUGCUUGCACUUGGUCAAGGUGAGUGGCGAACGGGUGAGUAACACGUGGGUAACCUACCUCAUAGUGGGGGAUAACAGUCGGAAACGACUGCUAAUACCGCAUAGGACAUGGAAUCACAUGAUUCUGUGAGGAAAGGUGGCGCAAGCUAUCGCUAAGAGAUGGACCCGCGGUGCAUUAGCUAGUUGGUAGGGUAAGGGCCUACCAAGGCGAUGAUGCAUAGCCGACCUGAGAGGGUGAGCGGCCAAAUUGGGAAUGAGACACGGCACAAACUCCUACGGGAGGCAGCAGUAGGGAAUCUUCCGCAAUGGACGCAAGUCUGACGGAGCAACGCCGCGUGAGUGAAGAAGGUCUUCGGAUCGUAAAGCUCUGUUGUUAGAGAAGAACAGCGAAUAGAGUAACUGUUAUGCGUGUGACGGUAUCUAACCAGAAAGCAACGGCUAACUACGUG
rnacentral:rRNA from 1 species